UCAUCCCGGUGUUCGUACUUAUGGAUUUGCCAACUAAACCCUUCUACCCUUUAAAAUUGAGCAUUGUAAACCUCUCUGACAUCUUCCCCCCACCCCACCCUCGUUUCUUUCCCCCCAGCCCACCCUUCAUUCUUCCCCAUCCCCUCCCCCAUUUCUUCUUCCCUUUCUCCCCCCUCCCCAUUUUCACCACCUUCACAACUUCAAUCAAUAGUUGAGAAAAAUAAUUUUCAUCUCCCUUUGUCUUCCUCAUAUUUUCUUUAUACACAAACCCAAAAAUACAAAGAAACAAAUCAAUAAUUUUCAGAUUGAUUAAUUUUCAAAGUUUUUGGAGAUCUUUCCUCGAACCCGAGAACAAGAGAAAAUGUUGAGCUUAAAAUUGCAUUCAACGGCUCUGGCAAAAUGUUGAGCUUUGACGCAAUGAAGUAGACUGAUGGUAAUUAGUGAUUUUGUUGGUGGAUGAUGGUGGUGGUGGGUGGAAGUGGGAGAUGGGAGGGUGGAGAGAGAGAGAAAGGUUUGUUUGUUUGUUUGUUUU